rnacentral:lncRNA from 1 species
CUGGCAUCUAAGUUGAAUUUAUUUCUUAUGUAGAAAGAAGGGAAUUAAACCUGGUUAUCUAAGCAACCCAUUCGGAACGAUAAAUUACGCAUUGUGUGAUCGCAAAUAACGGAAGACUGCCAUCGAGACUACAUUCAGUUAUGUUUUGUAGAAUUGUAUUCCAAAGUCUAAUGAUAUGUAUUGAAAAUCGUACAUAUUCCGAAUUAAUUAACAUUGCUUAAAACUUUUAUAGCCCCUCGAUGAUCCUGUAGCUGUAGUAGUGUCUUCGCCUCGAGAUUUGAAGGUCAAGGUUUGAAAAUUGUUAAUUUAAACCAAAGACUUCCAAAUAGGUAUUUGCUGGUUAUACGUUAGCGACUCGUAAUUAAGGAAUAAGAGCAAUAAUUGGUCAAUAUUCAUAUAACAUUAAUACAUUUUCGUCCUGACUAUGCAUAUAUAUUCGCCGCUGGACGUUAAUCAGCCAUUCAUUAUGAUCAUCAUUUUGAAAACUUAUAUCUUUCUUUGAAUCAGUAGGUUUUCAUUAGAGGGUCAGCAGAUGAAAAGUCUCCCUUCCUUAAAUCAAUCAGACUGCAGGGCAUAAACGGAAAAUCCAACGGAGAUACUGGUCAAGUUACAGAAGGUUUAUCCAUAGCUGGGUAUGAAAAAUGAACAUACAUGUUCUUAAUUUCACUCUAUAUAUUUGUUAGGCAGUCUUAAGGCAAAUCCUAUUGAAUAUCUUUUCGACAAUUGUCA